UAAAGAUUUAAAAUUAAUAAACCUUAGUAGUAAUAGUUAAGGUCUUGAAACUUAAAGAAUUUGGCGGUACUUUAGUCUAUUUAGAGGAAUCUGUCCCUUAAUCGAUAAUCCACGUUAAACUUUACUUAAUUUAAAAAGAUUUGUAUACCGCUGUUUUAUGAAGAUCUUUUCAGGGUUAAUUUUCAUAAAAUUUUAUUUUAUAAUAUUUCAGGUCAAGGUGCAGUUUAUGAUUAAGUGGAGAUGGAUUACAAUAUUUAAAAUAUAAACGGAUUAUAAAUUGUAAUUUUUAUAUGAAGGUGGAUUUAAUAGUAAUAUUUUUGAGAUUAUAAUUGUGAUUAUAGCUCUAAGGUGUGU
rnacentral:rRNA from 1 species